GCCCCARGCUCUGGGAUAGCCACCGGAAACGGUGAUUAAUACCGGAUACGACAACCGAUUGCAUGAUCUGGUUGUGGAAAGUUUUUCGGCCUGGGAUGUGCUCGCGGCCUAUCAGCUUGUUGGUGAGGUAAUGGCUCACCAAGGCUUCGACGGGUAGCCGGCCUGAGAGGGUGACCGGCCACACUGGGACUGAGACACGGCCCAGACUCCUACGGGAGGCAGCAGUGGGGAAUAUUGGACAAUGGGCGGAAGCCUGAUCCAGCAACGCCGCGUGAGGGAUGACGGCCUUCGGGUUGUAAACCUCUUUCAGCACAGACGAAGCGCAAGUGACGGUAUGUGCAGAAGAAGGACCGGCCAACUACGUGCCAGCAGCCGCGGUAAUACGUAGGGUCCGAGCGUUGUCCGGAAUUAUUGGGCGUAAAGGGCUCGUAGGCGGUCUGUCGCGUCGGGAGUGAAAACCAGGUGCUUAACACCUGGCCUGCUUUCGAUACGGGCAGACUAGAGGUACUCAGGGGAGAAUGGAAUUCCUGGUGUAGCGGUGAAAUGCGCAGAUAUCAGGAGGAACACCGGUGGCGAAGGCGGUUCUCUGGGAGUAUCCUGACGCUGAGGAGCGAAAGUGUGGGGAGCGAACAGG
rnacentral:rRNA from 1 species